UACAAAGCCAAAGCGUAAUUCUAUGACCAGCGGGCCGUAACAGUAAAGCAUGGCUCCAACUGCUAAUUCUUCUCUCUUUCCCUAAUCCUUGACCAAAAUCGUCCAAUGUGCUCUGAGGUCCAUUCCUCUCGUCACCUACAACAAAGAUCUCCACUUCUUCCCUCUCUGCACGAUUUAAUUUUCCUCCAACUUGGUGUUCAAAAGGUGCCGAUCCGAUAAUUUUGCCUCUGAACCAUCUUCUUCCUUAUCUCCUCUUUUUUUUUUGGGAGAUUUUUUGAGACUUACAAGCAACAGCCAGAUUAAUGUCAAGUUUACGCCUUUAAAUCUUUGUACCGAUUGGGAAAUUUGAAUGUUCUGCGCGAAUUCCGCUGUAUCUGAAGAAAUAGUGUGGUUUGGUAGGCUUCGUUGAGUUUUGCCUUUGUUUGGUGGGAUUAGAUGUCGUUCCGGAGCAUCAUUCAGGACAUGCGAGAGGAGAUCGGGAGUAUAUCGAGGAAGGGGUUUGAGGUCAAGCUGGGUUACGGGCUGAGAUCGGGUUCGCACAGGGUGUUGCGUGAUGGGUUGAGGCCGUCACCGAUCGAUGCACUGAAGCAGAGCUGCUGGGCUAAUUUGCCGUCGGAACUCUUGCGAGAUGUUCUGACGCGGAUUGAGGAGGCUCAGGCCUCGUGGCCGCAUAGAAAGGACGUUGUUUCCUGUGCUGGGGUGUGCAGGAGCUGGAGAGAGAUCAUGAAGGAGAUCGUCAAGACUCCAGAGGUCUCAGGGAAGCUAACUUUUCCGAUAUCUGUGAAACAGCCUGGUCCAAGAGAUUUUCCACUCCAGUGCUUUAUAAAGAGGAAUCAAGCUACUCAGACAUUCUAUCUUUACUUCAGCCUCACUGAAGCUUUAACAGAUGAUGGAAAAUUUCUACUUGCUGCACGCAAAUGUCGCCGUGCUACUUGCACUGACUAUCUAAUCUCAGUAGAUGCUGAUGACAUUUCAAAAGGAAGUGGCGCAUAUGUUGGGAAGUUGAGAUCAAGUUUUCUGGGCAGGAAAUUUACAGUGUAUGAUUCUCAACCUCCUCCUACUGAAGCCGUGUUCACAAAAUGUCGCUCUACACGACUUUUAGGUUCUAAACAAGUCUCUCCAAGGAUCCCCGCUGGAAACUAUCAAGCUGCACACAUUGCUUAUGAGUUGAAUGUAUUAGGCUCUCGAUGUCCUAGGAGAAUGCACUGUGUCGUGGAUUCUAUCCCUGCCUCUGCAAUGGAACCUGGCGGAGUGGCACCUACACAAACUGAUUUUCCUCAGAACAGCAUCGAUUCCUUUUCAUCGAUACCAUUUUUCAGAUUCAAAUCAUCUCGUAUGGAUAACUUCCCUGGCCUUUCAAAUCCUCAGAAGGAAGUAAAUUUGGUCUUAAAGAACAAAGCUCCGAGGUGGCAUGAACAGCUUCAAUGCUGGUGUCUAAAUUUUCGUGGACGGGUGACGGUUGCAUCGGUGAAGAAUUUUCAGUUGGUUGCAGAAGACUGUGGAACCAGUGGGCAGAAUAAUAAUGACGUAAUUCUCCAAUUUGGAAAGGUUGGGAAGGAUUUGUUCACCAUGGAUUAUCAGUAUCCAAUAUCAGCUUUUCAGGCAUUUUCUAUCUGCCUUAGUAGCUUUGAUACCAAACUAGCCUGCGAGUAAAGGAAGGAACAUGCGACUUGGGCUGCUGGAUUGCUGUUUGGGCCCUGUUUAAUCAUGCCCGAGGAGCUGUUGUGACCGUUACAAUUGGUGAAAUUUGAAAUAAUUUUUCAUCAAAAUAAAGCCCUGGAGGAUGCAAGUUAUGAAAGAUAAGUGCAGACAGACAGGUUUGACUUAGGCUUUGGUGUCUUCUGUUCAUCAUCUCUCUAUUUUAUGUGUUGCUGUGUUGUGUUGCAACCAUCUUUCAUUGUGAUGUGCUCACUUUUAAACCUGCCAGAAUUUCUGGUUCUCCAUUUAGAAGCUGUUAGGUUACGCUUUAUUUACUCAAUUGUAUUGAUUUUGAUGUCGCAAGUAGCAGCUGUACUUGACUUUUCCAAUGGUGAAGAAUUUCUGCAAGCCUUGAUGCAUUUAAUAACUA